GAUUCUCAACAAUGGAUAUCUCGGCUCUCGCAUCGAUGAAGAACGUAGCAAAAUGUGAUACAUGGUGUGAAUUGUAGGAUCCCACGAACCAUCGAGUCUUUGAACGUAAGUUGUGCCUAGAGCCUUCUGGCCGAGGGCACGUCUGCCUGGGCAUCA